rnacentral:rRNA from 1 species
GACGAACGCUGGCGGCGUGCCUAAUACAUGCAAGUUGAGCGCUGAAGGUUGGUACUUGUACCAACUGGAUGAGCAGCGAACGGGUGAGUAACGCGUGGGGAAUCUGCCUUUGAGCGGGGGACAACAUUUGGAAACGAAUGCUAAUACCGCAUAAAAACUUUAAACACAAGUUUUAAGUUUGAAAGAUGCAAUUGCAUCACUCAAAGAUGAUCCCGCGUUGUAUUAGCUAGUUGGUGAGGUAAAGGCUCACCAAGGCGAUGAUACAUAGCCGACCUGAGAGGGGGAUCGCCAACAUUGGAGGUGGAACAGGCCCAAAACUCCUGGGGGAGGGAGCAGAAGGGAAUUUUGGGCAAUGGACGAAAGUCUGGCCGAGCAACCCGGGGGGAGUGAAAAAGGUUUUGGGAUCGUAAAACUCUGUUUGGGGGGAAAAACGGGUGGGGGGGGGGAAAGCGCCUCAGGGACCGGAACCGCCCCAGAAGGGAAGGCCAAAUUCGUG